AGCUUCUCAGCGCCGAUGGUAGUUGGGGGCUGUCCCCCUGUGAGAGUAGGACGCUGCCGGGC
rnacentral:rRNA from 1 species